CCUUACCACCUUUUGACAUGCCUGGACCGCCAGAGAGAUCUGGCUUUCCCUUCGGGGACUAGGACACAGGUGCUGCAUGGCUGUCGUCAGCUCGUGUUGUGAAAUGUUGGGUUAAGUCCCGCAACGAGCGCAACCCUUAUCCUUUGUUGCCAGCGGUUCGGCCGGGAACUCAAAGGAGACUGCCAGUGAUAAACUGGAGGAAGGUGGGGAUGACGUCAAGUCAUCAUGGCCCUUACGAGUAGGGCUACACACGUGCUACAAUGGCAUAUACAAAGAGAAGCGACCUCGCGAGAGCAAGCGGACCUCAUAAAGUAUGUCGUAGUCCGGAUUGGAGUCUGCAACUCGACUCCAUGAAGUCGGAAUCGCUAGUAAUCGUAGAUCAGAAUGCUACGGUGAAUACGUUCCCGGGCCUUGUACACACCGCCCGUCACACCAUGGGAGUGGGUUGCAAAAGAAGUAGGUAGCUUAACCUUCGGGAGGGCGCUUACCACUUUGUGAUUCAUGACUGGGGUGAAGUCGUAACAAGGUAACCGUAGGGGAACCUGCGGCUGGAUCACCUCCUUA
rnacentral:rRNA from 1 species